rnacentral:tRNA from 1 species
UGUCCGGGGAUGGGAAUUGAACCCACAUUGUUCCGCUUACCGGGCAGAUGCCAUGUCCACUAGGCUAUCCUGGAC